rnacentral:rRNA from 1 species
AUUUUGGGCAAUGGCCGAAAGGCUGACCCAGCGACGCCGCGUGCGGGAGGACGCUUUUCGGAGUGUAAACCGCUGUCAGAGGGGAAGAAACGUCGGGUGGUGAACAGUCACCCGGCCUGACGGUACCCUCAAAGGAAGCACCGGCUAACUCUGUGCCAGCAGCCGCGGUAAUACAGAGGGUGCAAGCGUUGUUCGGAAUCACUGGGCGUAAAGCGCGCGCAGGCGGGACUGCAAGUCGGGAGUGAAACUCCGGGGCUCAACUCCGGACCGGCUACCGAAACUGCAGACCUGGGGACCGGUAGAGGCUGGUGGAAUUCCCGGUGUAGCGGUGGAAUGCGUAGAGAUCGGGAAGAACACCCGUGGCGAAGGCGGCCAGCUGGGCCGGGUCCGACGCUGAGGCGCGAAAGCGUGGGGAGCAA